rnacentral:lncRNA from 10 species
AUUUUUGUCCUUGCAGGACAAGAAGCCAGCUUUCAGAGAUUCUCCAGCCAUAACCAUCAUCAUCUGCUCAAUGCCCAACGUCUCUCUCCCAUGCUGCCUCCCUUUCUCUCACACACACAUAAAGUAAAUGAAAUAAUCUCUAGAACUUUUCCAUCUUGCAAACUGGAAACGGCACCCACUGAACACCAGUCCCAUUUCCCCUUACCCACAGCCCCUGGAAGCCACCCUUCUACUUUGUCUCUGUGAAUUAACUACUCUAUUACCUCAUGUAAGUAGAAUCAUAUGUUGUUUGUCCUUUGGUGACUGGUUUAUUUCACUUACCAUAAUGCCCUCAAGGCCCGUCCCUGUUGUACCAGGGGUCAGAAUUUCCUAACUUUUAAAGGCUGAAUAAUAUUCCAUUGUAUGUAUAUAACCAGCAUUCCUACUUUUAAGAAUUUAUAUUAAAGAAACAUUUCUACAAGUUCCCAAAUAAACGUUUACUUCAGGAGUGUC